rnacentral:tRNA from 1 species
AAGAAGCGUAUGAACACCAGGAGCUGCUAACUCCACCAACCAAAACUAAAAUUUUUGGGCCUCUU